UGCCGCGUGAAUGAUGAAGGUCGUUAGGAUUGUAGAAUUCUUUCACCGGGGNACGAUAAUGACGGUACCCGGAGAAGAAGCCCCGGCUAACUUCGUGCCAGCAGCCGCGGUAAUACGAAGGGGGCUAGCGUUGCUCGGAAUUACUGGGCGUAAAGGGAGCGUAGGCGGACUGUUAAGUUAGAGGUGAAAGCCCAGGGCUCAACCUUGGAAUUGCCUUUGAUACUGGCAGUCUUGAGUACGGAAGAGGUAUGUGGAACUCCGAGUGUAGAGGUGAAAUUCGUAGAUAUUCGGAAGAACACCAGUGGCGAAGGCGACGUACUGGUCCGUUACUGACGCUGAGGCUCGAAAGCGUGGGGAGCAAACAGGAUUAAAUACCCUGGUAGUCCACGCCGUAAACGAUGAGUGCUAGUUGUCGGCAUGCAUGCAUGUCGGUGACGCAGCUAACGCAUUAAGCACUCCGCCUGGGGA
rnacentral:rRNA from 1 species